UACGUAGGUGGCAAGCGUUGUCCGGAAUUAUUGGGCGUAAAGCGCGCGCAGGCGGUCCUUUAAGUCUGAUGUGAAAGCCCACGGCUCAACCGUGGAGGGUCAUUGGAAACUGGGGGACUUGAGUACAGAAGAGAAGAGUGGAAUUCCACGUGUAGCGGUGAAAUGCGUAGAGAUGUGGAGGAACACCAGUGGCGAAGGCGACUCUUUGGUCUGUAACUGACGCUGAGGCGCGAAAGCGUGGGGAGCAGACAGG
rnacentral:rRNA from 1 species